UACGUAGGGGGCGAGCGUUGUCCGGAUUUAUUGGGCGUAAAGAGCUCGUAGGCGGUUCGAUAAGUCAGGUGUAAAAACUCCAGGCUCAACUUGGAGAGGCCACCUGAUACUGUCGUGACUAGAGUCCGGUAGAGGAGCACGGAAUUCCUGGUGUAGCGGUGAAAUGCGCAGAUAUCAGGAGGAACCCCAGCGGCGAAGGCGGUGCUCUGGCCCGGUACUGACGCUGAGGUGCGAAAGCGUGGGAGCAAACAGG
rnacentral:rRNA from 1 species